GCCAGCGAGGAUGGCUGCGAGCGCGUUUGAGCGCUCGCGCGCGGCGACCCGUCUAUCUCCUUCUUUUUUUCUUUUUUAAAUGUAACCUGGUUUAUUGGGCUCUCGGCGUAUUCUUGCGUUCCUUCUGCACUGGGACAAGACACCACUGCACUAUUGGACUACGGCAAGCUGGUGCCGUCCGGUGGAGCUUCAUACAGGAACUACUGCCUUACCUGCUGGUGUCACAACGUUGGAUGAACGCACAAAAAGCGCGGAACGAGCUUUUAUAUAGAGCAAAAUAAAUAUUUCCUCAUUGCACAAAA